rnacentral:rRNA from 1 species
UACAGAGGUCCCGAGCGUUGUUCGGAUUCACUGGGCGUAAAGGGUGCGUAGGUUGGUGAGGUAAGUCGGAUGUGAAAUCUCCAAGCUCAACUUGGGAAAUGGCAUUGGAAACUACCUUGCUCGAGGGGUUUGAGGGGGGGACUGGAAUACUUGGUGUAGCAAGUGAAAUGCGUAGAUAUCAAGUGGAACACCAGGUGGCGAAGGCGAGUCCCUGGAAAACUCCUGACACUGAGGCACGGAAAGCUAGGGGAGCAAACAGG